GACGAACGCUGGCGGCGUGCUUAACACAUGCCAGUCGAACGGAAAGGCCCUGCUUUUGUGGGGUGCUCGAGUGGCGAACGGGUGAGUAACACGUGAGUAACCUGCCCUUGACUUUGGGAUAACUUCAGGAAACUGGGGCUAAUACCGGAUAGGAGCUCCUGCUGCAUGGUGGGGGUUAGAAAGUUUCGGCGGUUGGGGAUGGACUCGCGGCUUAUCAGCUUGUUGGUGGGGUAGUGGCUUACCAAGGCUUUGACGGGUAGCCGGCCUGAGAGGGUGACCGGCCACAUUGGGACUGAGAUACGGCCCAGACUCCUACGGGAGGCAGCAGUGGGGAAUAUUGCACAAUGGGCGGAAGCCUGAUGCAGCAACGCCGCGUGCGGGAUGACGGCCUUCGGGUUGUAAACCGCUUUCGCCUGUGACGAAGCGUGAGUGACGGCAAUGGGUAAAGAAGCACCGGCUAACUACGUG
rnacentral:rRNA from 1 species